rnacentral:RNase_P_RNA from 1 species
UGAGUAAGCCAAGUGACUGCGCCGAUUAUUAUCGGUGAGGAAAGUCCGAGCUCCACAGGACAAGGGUGCCGGAUAACGUCCGGUGAAGGCGACUUUAAGGAAAGUGCAACAGAAAUAAACCGCCGCGCUAAGCGCGGU